CCUCUGCUUGCAGGGGUGCUCGAGUGGCGAACGGGUGAGUAACACGUGGGUGAUCUGCCUUGUACUCUGGGAUAAGCUUGGGAAACUGGGUCUAAUACCGGAUAGGAACUGCCUUUAGUGUGGUGGUUGGAAAGUUUUUUCGGUGCAAGAUGAGCUCGCGGCCUAUCAGCUUGUUGGUGGGGUAAUGGCCUACCAAGGCGUCGACGGGUAGCCGGCCUGAGAGGGUGUACGGCCACAUUGGGACUGAGAUACGGCCCAGACUCCUACGGGAGGCAGCAGUGGGGAAUAUUGCACAAUGGGCGGAAGCCUGAUGCAGCGACGCCGCGUGGGGGAUGACGGCCUUCGGGUUGUAAACUCCUUUCGACAGGGACGAAGCGCAAGUGACGGUACCUGUAUAAGAAGCACCGGCUAACUACGUGCCAGCAGCCGCGGUAAUACGUAGGGUGCGAGCGUUGUCCGGAAUUACUGGGCGUAAAGAGCUCGUAGGUGGUUUGUCGCGUCGUCUGUGAAAUUCCGGGGCUUAACUCCGGGCGUGCAGGCGAUACGGGCAUAACUUGAGUGCUGUAGGGGAGACUGGAAUUCCUGGUGUAGCGGUGAAAUGCGCAGAUAUCAGGAGGAACACCGAUGGCGAAGGCAGGUCUCUGGGCAGUUACUGACGCUGAGGAGCGAAAGCAUGGGUAGCGAACAGGAUUAGAUACCCUGGUAGUCCAUGCCGUAAACGGUGGGCGCUAGGUGUAGGGGGCUUCCACGUCUUCUGUGCCGUAGCUAACGCAUUAAGCGCCCCGCCUGGGGAGUACGGCCGCAAGGCUAAAACUCAAAGGAAUUGACGGGGGCCCGCACAAGCGGCGGAGCAUGUGGAUUAAUUCGAUGCAACGCGAAGAACCUUACCUGGGCUUGACAUACACCAGAUCGCUGCAGAGAUGUAGUUUCCCUUGUGGUUGGUGUACAGGUGGUGCAUGGUUGUCGUCAGCUCGUGUCGUGAGAUGUUGGGUUAAGUCCCGCAACGAGCGCAACCCUUGUCUUAUGUUGCCAGCAUUUGGUUGGGGACUCAUGAGAGACUGCCGGGGUUAAC
rnacentral:rRNA from 1 species